UGGGGGCGUGCCUAUACAUGCAAGUUGAGCGCUGAAGGUUGGUACUUGUACCGACUGGAUGAGCAGCGGACGGGUGAGUAACGCGUGGGGAAUCUGCCUUUGAGCGGGGGACAACAUUUGGAAACGAAUGCUAAUACCGCAUAACAACUUUAAACACAAGUUUUAAGUUUGAAAGAUGCAAUUGCAUCACUCAAAGAUGAUCCCGCGUUGUAUUAGCUAGUUGGUGAGGUAAAGGCUCACCAAGGCGAUGAUACAUAGCCCACCUGAGAGGGGGAUCGGCCACAUUGGGACUGACACACGGCCCAAACUCCUACGGGAGGCAGCAGUAGGGAAUCUGCGGCAAUGGACGAAAGUCUGACCGAGCAACGCCGCGUGAGUGAAGAAGGUUUUCGGAUCGUAAAACUCUGUUGGUAGAGAAGAACGUUGGUGAGAGUGGAAAGCUCAUCAAGUGACGGUAACUACCCAGAAAGGGACGGCUAACUACGUGCCAGCCGCCGCGGUAAUACGUAGGUCCCGAGCGUUGUCCGGAUUUGUUGGGCGUAAAGCGAGCGCAGGUGGUUUAUUAAGUCUGGUGUAAAAGGUAGUGGCUCAACCAUUGUAUGCAUUGGAUACUGGUAGACUUGAGAGCAGGAGAGGAGAGUGGAAUUUCCUGUGUAGAGGCGAAAUGCAUAGAUAGAAGGAGGAACACAUCUGGUCAAGGCUGCUCUCUGGCCUGUCACUGAUACUGAUGCUCUAAAGGGUGGAGAGCAGCUUUCAUUACAUACGCUGGUAG
rnacentral:rRNA from 1 species